rnacentral:tRNA from 2 species
GGGGCGUUAGCUCAGUCGGUUAGAGCAUCGGACUCAUAAUCCGCCGGUCCAAGGUUCAAAUCCAUGCCCCG